CACGUGGGAACGUGCCCUUUGGUACGGAACAACUGAGGGAAACUUCAGCUAAUACCGUAUGUGCCCUAUUGGGGAAAGAUUUAUCGCCAUUGGAGCGGCCCGCGUUGGAUUAGCUAGUUGGUGGGGUAAAGGCUCACCAAGGCGACGAUCCAUAGCUGGUCUGAGAGGAUGAUCAGCCACACUGGGACUGAGACACGGCCCAGACUCCUACGGGAGGCAGCAGUGGGGAAUCUUGCGCAAUGGGCGAAAGCCUGACGCAGCCAUGCCGCGUGAAUGAUGAAGGUCUUAGGAUUGUAAAAU
rnacentral:rRNA from 1 species